rnacentral:rRNA from 1 species
AUGCAGAGGGACCGAGGCGUCUCGGCGGCGGCUGGGGGCGCCGGCGAAAGGAAGCGGAUAGGCGAGGCGAUGGACAGGUCCUCCCCGUCGACGUCCUGGGGGUUCUCCGGCGGCCGCGAGAGGGACCGGAUCGCCGCCGGGAAGCAGCCGGAGGUGCCCCGCUCCGGCGGCGGAUCCACCGCCAUGUCCAAGGGCAAGUUGUCCGAUGGAGAAUCGGAUACUGACAGUGAAGAAUCAGAUCUCAGUGGUUCUGAUGGAGAGGAUACAUCGUGGAUUUCAUGGUUCUGUAGCUUGCGAGGCAAUGAGUUUUUCUGUGAAGUUGAUGACGAUUACAUACAAGACGAUUUCAAUCUCUGUGGGCUAAGCGGUCAAGUUCCAUAUUAUGAAUAUGCUCUUGAUCUGAUAUUGGAUGUCGAGUCUUCACAUGGUGAUAUGUUCACAGAAGAGCAGAAUGAACUUAUUGAAUCAGCUGCUGAGAUGCUUUAUGGAUUGAUUCAUGUUCGAUAUAUUCUUACAAGUAAAGGGUUGGCUGCAAUGUUGGAUAAAUACAAGAAUUAUGACUUUGGCAGAUGUCCAAGAGUGCACUGCAGCGGCCAGCCAUGCCUUCCAGUUGGCCAGUCGGACAUUCCCCGCUCUAGUAAUGUCAAAAUUUACUGCCCAAAGUGUGAAGAUCUCUACUAUCCGAGAUCCAAAUAUCAAAGCAACAUUGAUGGAGCUUACUUCGGGACAACGUUUCCUCACUUGUUUCUGAUGACGUACCCACAUUUGAAGCCCCAGAAACCGUCACAGCAGUACGUCCCCAAGGUUUUUGGCUUCAAACUUCAUAAGCCAUAA